rnacentral:rRNA from 1 species
GUCCUGACAGUAAACGGUGUACGUUUGGUGUAGGCGGAUUCGACCCCGUCUGUGCCGGAGCUAACGCGUUAAACGUACCGCCUGGGAAGUACGGUCGCAAGAUUAAAACUCAAAGAAAUUGACGGGGGCCCGCACAAGCGGUGGAGUAUGUGGCUUAAUUCGAUGCAACGCGAAGAACCUUACCAGGGUUUGACAUGUAUUGUGUCGGCGGUGAAAGCCGCCUAGCCGGGUUAAACCGGCGCUUUACACAGGUGCUGCAUGGCUGUCGU